rnacentral:rRNA from 1 species
AUUGAACGCUGGCGGCAUGCUUUACACAUGCAAGUCGAACGGUAACAGGCCGCAAGGUGCUGACGAGUGGCGAACGGGUGAGUAAUGCAUCGGAACGUGCCCAGUCGUGGGGGAUAACUACUCGAUAGAGUAGCUAAUACCUCAUACGAUCUAUGGAUUAAAGCGGGGGACCGUAAGGCCUCGCGCGAUUUUAGCUGCCGAUGUCAGAUUAGGUAGUUGGUGGGGUAAAGGCUCACCAAGCCAACGAUCUGUAGCUGGUCUGAGAGGACGACCAGCCACACUGGGACUGAGACACGGCCCAGACUCCUACGGGAGGCAGCAGUGGGGAAUUUUGGACAAUGGGCGCAAGCCUGAUCCAGCAAUGCCGCGUGCAGGAAGAAGGCCUUCGGGUUGUAAACUGCUUUUGUAAGGAACGAAACGGCUCUGGUUAAUACACGGGGCUAAUGACGGUACCGUAAGAAUAAGCACCGGCUAACUACGUG